rnacentral:rRNA from 1 species
UACGUAGGGGGCGAGCGUUGUCCGGAUUUAUUGGGCGUAAAGAGCGUGUAGGCGGCCAGGUAGGUCUGCUGUGAAAACUCGAGGCUCAACCUCGAGACGUCGGCGGAAACCAUCUGGCUAGAGUCCGGAAGAGGAGAGUGGAAUUCCUGGUGUAGCGGUGAAAUGCGCAGAUAUCAGGAAGAACACCCGUGGCGAAGGCGGCUCUCUGGGACGGUACUGACGCUGAGGAGCGAAAGCGUGGGUAGCAAACAGG